UUCCCCACCGUCAAUUCAUCCAAAGUUCACCGGAACACUGCAAAAGUUCGGCCAUCAUGUUUCGCAACAUCCGCCACCACACACAGAACACGACACGGUUCUGUGUGACGCAACCAUUCGAGUUUGAGAAAUAGCCCGGAACGGAUGAGAGGACGAUUCGCUGUGCGUGGUGUGGCUUUUUUUCUGUUUGUUUGUUUGGAACGAAUUUGGUACUGCUGGGGACAGCUUUAAAUGUGAUAAACGUGACCUUAAACCUGCGUCAACAUGGAAGGAACCACAUUUCACUCCAUCUGCAGUGCUUCAGCCAGUUCGCCAACUUCCAGUGAUCAUGCCGUAGUCAAUUCUCGAGUGAAGUGUCCUUAAGGUGGUGCAGGAAGUUAGGGACAUUUCUUACGCAGCAAAAAAAAACCGGAAAGACAAACUGUUUUUCCUCGUUUGGUUUUACUUCCGUUUUUUUUCGGGGUGAUAAAAGUGAUAACAGCAACGAACGGGAAAGGAAAAUAAAACACGGUGCUCGAAUUAUCAGCCCUGCGUGGCGGGUUUUGUUUAACGCGUGUUUGUACAGGCAGCAGUGAACCGCACGGAUCUCGCCACCCAAGUGGACGCUACGUGCACGGGACGAUGUUUAUCUUUCUACUGUUUGCCUCGGACGGGUGCCGAAAUGUGUGCCAAAUAUUCUCCCAACGUUUGGUGGCCCGGCUCCGUAAGCAUCGGCGUAAACGGGACGAUGACACGGCCGCACCGAAAACACCCCGCUGGACGGCCUGCUUAAGGACGUGGAUCAAGUGUGUCUGUACCGGGGCCUGUGUUACGUCGCCAAGCACGCCCGGCACUGGACGUGUGUGCAUCGAAGACACACGAACGGCCGGAUGGGCUACAGUGGCCAAGCUGCUGUUCCAGAAGUUACUGCACCAGGCGUGAUCAGUUGGGUGAGCUUUUACCCCAACUCGCAGUAGAGGGGACGCAGAAGACGAAGAUGAAGCGAAGCGAAAAAAAGGAAAACAACGAAAAAGGAACAACAUGGAAUUAUUACAACGCUCCCACAAAUUGGGAGCCAACUUUUCAUAGCGGGCAGUGUUCCACGGCUACGGAUGGAAAGGUGUGUGGGUGUGUUGCUGUUUCUGGAUUUGAUGGAAUUUGACAGCGCCCCGGUGUAAGGCGUUUCAAAUUGAUGGGAAAUUGAUUCAAUGAAUAAACACUAGUCUAUAAACUUGCUUUUCCUUUUCAUCUUCGUAGUAUGUAUCGUGCUCCACUUCUUGACUCGUUCUAUGUGGCCAAUAAACGGAACAAUGCUCUCUGAAUCAAAGUUUUACAGUGUGUGUAAGAAUGCAAUAUAACAUUUUGUUCACCGCUAGUUGGAAAAGGUUUAAUAGUUUGUACAAAAAAAAAACACAAUACGAAAAACAGAAUGGUAAAUAAAUUAUGCUAAUAAUAAUGUUUCCAAUAGCA